rnacentral:rRNA from 1 species
AGCGGUAACAGAGGAGAAGCUUGCUUCUCUGCUGACGAGCGGCGGACGGGUGAGUAAUGCCUAGGAAUCUGCCUAGUAGUGGGGGAUAACUUGCCGAAAGGUAAGCUAAUACCGCAUACGUCCUACGGGAGAAAGGAGGGGACCUUCGGGCCUUUCGCUAUUAGAUGAGCCUAGGUCGGAUUAGUUAGUUGGUGAGGUAAUGGCUCACCAAGACCGCGAUCCGUAACUGGUCUGAGAGGAUGAUCAGUCACACUGGAACUGAGACACGGUCCAGACUCCUACGGGAGGCAGCAGUGGGGAAUAUUGGACAAUGGGGGGAACCCUGAUCCAGCCAUGCCGCGUGUGUGAAGAAGGUCUUAGGAUUGUAAAGCACUUUAAGUUGGGAGGAAGAGCAGUUAACUAAUAUUUGACUGUUUUGACGUUACCGACAGAAUAAGCACCGGCUAACUUCGUGCCAGCAGCCGCGGUAAUACGAAGGGUGCAAGCGUUAAUCGGAAUUACUGGGCGUAAAGCGCGCGUAGGUGGUUCAGUAAGUUAGGAGUGAAAGCCCCGGGCUUAACCUGGGAAUUGCUUCUAAAACUGCUGAGCUAGAGUACGGUAGAGGGUG